rnacentral:lncRNA from 1 species
CACGCAUGCCAGGCGAGCGCGCUACCGCUUGAGCCACAUCCCCAGCCCAAGAAUCUACUUCUUGAUGAUGUCUUUUUAAGUUCUAUUGCCAGUGGUCAUACUUUGUAAAAAGCCUUUGAGAGUUGCACCCCUUCAGAUUGUAUAGACUUUGGAUAGCUAAGAAUUUAGAACUGCACCCAUUUCUGUUCAUGGUUAAUCCUGGCCUUACAAAGACUACUUUUGUCCACAUGUUAUCUGUGUUUAGGAUUAUAGGUAGAGUAAAACUUAAAUGGGAUUUAGAAAAUUAGGGCAGCUGGGAAAGCUUACUUCAGUCCCAGAUAUUAACUGCCUUGAGACCUAAUCACCAUGUGGCAACUUCAUAGUUGUGUGUGUGUUUGAUUGGCCUGAGAUGAAAUUCUUUGGCAGGGGGCCAGGUGUGGUGGGGGUGUGUCACCAAGAGUGUGG